rnacentral:rRNA from 1 species
CAGCAUACUGCCGUGAAUACGUUCCCGGGCCUUGUACACACCGCCCGUCACACCAUGAGAGUUGGGAAUACCCGAAGCCUGUGAGCUAACAUUUAUGAGGCAGCAGUCGAAGGUAGAAUCAAUGAUUGGGGUGAAGUCGUAACAAGGUAAC